rnacentral:rRNA from 1 species
GUGGGGAAUUUUGGACAAUGGGCGCAAGCCUGAUCCAGCAAUGCCGCGUGCAGGAAGAAGGCCUUCGGGUUGUAAACUGCUUUUGUACGGAACGAAACGGUCCGGGUUAAUACCCUGGGCUAAUGACGGUACCGUAAGAAUAAGCACCGGCUAACUACGUGCCAGCAGCCGCGGUAAUACGUAGGGUGCAAGCGUUAAUCGGAAUUACUGGGCGUAAAGCGUGCGCAGGCGGUUUUGUAAGACAGGCGUGAAAUCCCCGGGCUCAACCUGGGAAUUGCGCUUGUGACUGCAAGGCUGGAGUGCGGCAGAGGGGGAUGGAAGUCCGCGUGUAGCAGUGAAAUGCGUAGAUAUGCGGAGGAACACCGAUGGCGAAGGCAAUCCCCUGGGCCUGCACUGACGCUCAUGCACGAAAGCGUGGGGAGCAAACAGGAUUAGAUACCCGAGUAGUCC